CUAAGAUCAGGUUUGGGGUUUCCUGAAGUUCUAAGCCACUAGCGAUGUGAAACUAGGAGUUCCUCUCUGAGUUUUUCUGUACGUGUGUGUGUGUUUCUGCCUUUCUGCUGUGGCUCUGAUUGGGGUGAUUAAAAACAAUAGCUGGUUUAACAAAAGCCAAGGGGAUGUGACAGGUAACUGAGAAGGAAAUCGCUGUCUGCUUUUGGCUCGUUGGAGUUAUUUGUGUCUAACGAGGCCAGCUUGUCGCCAGCCUCUUUGCAGAUGAAAUGAAGCGAUGGGCUGAAGUAGGGCAAAGGAGGUGCCGUGUCCUGACAGGCUGAAGUGUGACCUGAUGAAUCCUAACCAUCCUAGACAACUUCAGAAGAACAAGGGGAAAGAAGAAGGGGGUGGAUGGGUGAAAAGACAGAGUCCAGAGUUAGGAUAGUAGGGAAGUUAGUUAUGGAGUAGAAAGAAAAAGACGUACAACAUCCUAUUUCAGACAGAGCACAAAGCACACAACCACAACCACUUUUACUGCAAUAUGGAUCUUCCCAAGAAGGCUCACAUAAAAAACUAAUUACAGAAAACCAUCUGAAAUUAUCUGAAGCUUUUGAAAUGCCAGAUAUUGAAGGAAUGACAGGUGAAACUGGUGGAAUACAAAACUAUUCAGACCACCGAGUUACGGGGAGAGAACUGGCCAAUUCCGAGAUGGAUUACAAAUCAAGAUCCCCGGAACCAGAUGAUCAGGACGAUGAAGACAGAGCCUGUGCAUGUGCUUGCAAUUGGAGGUGUUCUAUUUAAUUAUAUCAUUUACAAUUUCUUGUGUGUUUCAUUGAAGGAUCUUGUUUUUCUCAUUUGUGGCUUUUUGGUUGAAGUCAAGGUGCCUUGAACUGUCUGUGAAAGUUACCUGUCAAGUGAGGGCCUAUUUUCUACUUUUCGUUAUGAUGAAGCUUGCUUCUGUCAAGUGCUUCGUUUUGGAUACUGGCUUUCUUUGAAGUGAACACGAUGACUGCAUAAAGAGAAGCUGGCUGUAAGAAAGGCCUGAUGCCUUCCUCUGUUGAUCAUAGCAGACGGGCUGAAGUUGAAGUAGUUGCUGAAGAAUCAAGUGUCACUUAGCUUGCUGUUUAUUUUAUUGUUUUUCAUACUGUAAUUAAGCAUGAACUUCAACUAUAGCAGUAGAUUUUAGAGUGUUCAUAAGAAAUCUACUUUCUUGCAACAGACUUGCUGAAUUUGGACUGCUUGAAUCAUCUACUCUUCAUUGAAGCAACCUUUGUAUUCAAAGCUGAUUCCCUGCUCCAAGGUGUGCGAAAGAACCGUAUUCAUUUCUAUUAAUAUUAACUAAGUGCUAGAAUUCAUCAGGACUAUGUACUUGAUUGGCGGAGCUAUCUGACUUGCACUUUAGUAUAUACCAUUUGUACUUAACUAUUAUUGUAAAUAAUACUAUAACUAUGAAUGAUUAUCAAAACCCAAACUGUGUAUGUACCAAUAUCAGGUCUCAAAUCUUCAACAACCAGCAUUACUGAAUUGUUGAAAUGUAUUAUUAUAUUACACUUUUUUAAAAUCUAAGAAUUUAAUUUAUUUCUGUAAUGUUAUACACAGAAUAUUUAUUUUAAUAUUAAUAUAAAUAUUACCUGAUUCAGUGUUUCACUUCUAGCCAUGAAAACUUCCAUUGAUUAAAAACUGGUGGAUUCAAGACUUAACUUGAAUGGAUAUGUUCCAUGAAUCUAUUUCAGUUGGGUUGGUUAUUUUGGUUAAGUUGCUACCUAGUUAUCUUUUGUCCAGUAUAUUGGCUUUGCCACAUGUUAUACAUGUACUCAGUAUUUGUUGUGGAAACUUUAUCCGAAGAAAAGAGAACACACUUCUUUGGGGCCUGAUUUAGAUAUUAUUUACAUUUGAACUGAGCAAAUCAGAAGUACUACAACUGAAGUCAGUGGUAUUCUAUCAGUUCAGAAAUGACAUAAGAUUAGAACGAAGCAUUUAUGCUAUGAGACAGUGAAAGCAAAUUUUCCGAGAAGCAUGAAGAAAACAUUUCAAUGUCUUCUUAUAAUGCCAAUUAGCAACUUCUGAAGUCAGAUUCCAAAGCUGAAAUUUAGUUUAUAUUUUUGUUUUGAUUUGGAAAACUCAUAUCCAUGUUUUGCUUGAUAUCCCAGAGCUGAGCAAAGUCUUACUUCCAGUUGUUAAUUGCUAUGGCUUAAAAACAAUGAUGAUUAGCUAUUGUAGAUUCUUUAAUUGUGGGUUUGCUUCUAUUUCUUCUGAAAAUGUGUGAUUUACUACUAAGGAAAAUGUACAAUGCAGAUGUGAUAUUUUAUCAAAAUUCCUAACGUUCUAGAAGUGCGUAUUUUGCAAUUUUUUCAAAAAGUUUGGAAUAAAACAAAAUAUGACCUUAGUUAUCUGUUGCUAUUGAAUGGAAGAAGAUAUAAUGGAGAUAAUGAAGGAGAAAAAGAUUAACUUUGAUUCUAAUUUUUGUCCUAUGCAGGUGUAAGCCAAAUACCACUACAGUGACUUAUAACGGGUAUAACUGAAUAGAGAGUCAAUACCAUAAUGGUGAUUUUCAACCAAAUGGUGCUAACAGUGGAGAUUAAUUUUACCUGCUGAUGAAAAGGCCAGUUUACCAUUUUAUUUUUGUGGUAGCCAUCAUUAUUGGCCAUGGAACAGCAUCCACAGCCUGUAUUGUCUGUCCCUCAGAUGCUGGACUUCUGCCUGAAUAUUAUAAGCUAUUUGGUUAGGAUGUUGCUUCAAUUAUUUGUAUUUAUUAUGUCUAACAGACAUAAAAAGAACUAAUGGUUUUAUUGCUGUAUUGACUUGCUAAAUCAAACAACCAGUCAUUUUCAGGAAUGUUAAUGUAAACCAAAAAUAAAAACACAAGAAAAAUAUGCAUUUAUGUGAAGCAAACUGUUCAUAUCCCACAAGCAGAGUCUCUUGUUCCCUUUUCUACACAUUAAAAGAAUGGAAAGGUCAGUUUACAAUGAUAUGGUGAUUAUAAUAAUUUAUAAUAAUUUUAUAUUCAUAAUUUAUUUCAUAAGAGUUGAGCUAAUCAUUAAAUAGAUUUCCUACCCUGUAGCUUCAUAUUAAAUUAUGGAAUUAAUGUAGGAUUAAGAUUUAGCAAAAGGAUGGAAAUUAUAUUUAGUAAAUCACUUUUAAGCAAGUUUUUACUAUUGCUGCUUUAAUUAUCAGGAAACAGUUUUGGUAAGACAUGUAUUCUUUUAUAAAACAAAACAAAUAGCCCCCCGCCCCCUGCCCCCCUUUGGAUUAAGGCUAGGUUCAGUUCACGGAAAAAAAACCUAUUUAUUUGGAAAUUGAAAUAAAUUCCAUAACCUUUCCUUAUUUUAAGCAGCAAUCAGUAUGGAAUUUGUAUUUUGGUGCCAGAAUUGUAUAAUUUUUCCCCAUUAAAUAGCAUGCAAAUCUAAUAUUCUGUUUUCAAAUUUGACUGUGUGUUAUGAAGAAUGUAUUAAUUUUAAUAGUUCUAUUAUUGAAAUGAACUAAAACCCAACAUUUUCUAAUGAUAUAAUUUCCUAAUUAUAUUUUUAAUACUUUUUAUAAAAUUUCUCUUUAUAUUAUAAUUCUGUUUCCUUCUGUUGAAUUUAUACAGGUUAUUCUGUGAAAUUAUACAGGUUUUAAUCAAACAUGCAUGCAUGAAUACACUCUAAAUACAGGUUUCUCUUUCAUUGUGAACACUGAAAUGUAUUAAAUUAAGGUACCCCACAGGUAUUUUUCUCUUUCAAAUAUUUAGCAAUGUUCAAGAGACCUGUGACCUUUAUACUGAAUUGUAUUUUUUAAUUUCUUGCCCCUUCUUUCUACAAACAAUAUAGCUAGUAAAAACUGAGAUCUAAAGGCCAGGACAUUUAAAAUAAAAAUAUCUUCAAUCAAACUGUAAAAUCUUAAAACAGGCUUGAGUCAAAACAUUAAUAUGUCUUCAGCAUUUGAACUGACUCAUUUUGGACACUUUGAGUGCAUCUACACAUCACCCUAUGUCACCAUAGCGAUGCACUACAUCACUGUACAGCAUGCUACAGGAAUGUAGUGAUCAUGUGAAUCUUCAUGUGACAUGCAGCUACUUCACCGUAGCAGCACAUUCCCCCAUUUUAGUGCACCGCUACAGUGAAGUAGAGACUAAAACUAACUGUGCCACACGCAUAGUACAGUACAGGCAGUUACUGUGCUGUGCUUUAGGUCUUCCAAAAGGAAGUACUAAAACAUGGUGCAGUAACAACAUUGUUGUAGGGUGAUGUAGACAUGCCCUUUUACUUGAUUUUUUUCUGAUUUUUUUUUUGCAUUCAUUCAUUCAUUCUUUUUUUUUUUGUUAAAUACUCAUUCACAUGCAUGUAAGUUACUCAACUCAAUUGAAUAAAAAUUAAAAGAAUUUAAUUUAUUCCAUUUUAUUGAUAAACACAUCUGUUUAUUUUUUCUAGGAUAGAUGUGUUGUAUAUUUAUAGAUCUGCAAAAUAUACCUAGCCUUAUUACAGACUUUAAUUUCAUGAGUUUUCUCUGAAAUGUUAUAUACAUUCCUGUGCUUUUGUUAAAACAGACUUCCAUUCUUAGACUUCAAUUGCUAGUCACUAAAUUAGGUUUAGCAAAUGGUGUAUCAUAUGAAAUACAUUUUUAGAAUAUUCUGACGCAGGUUUUUUACUUUUAAUACUGAUUUUCAAUCAUACCAGAGUUAAGUGGAUGUGGCAACUAUUUCUCCUUAGUGGUUUACUGUAUUGUGAAAAAUACUGUAACAAUCUUAGUUAAUUGAACUAUCUUAGUUUAACUGAGCAAUCUUAGUUAAAAAUUAGGUUGCUAAAAUGGAUUUUUGCAUAUAAUAUCCAAUAGGGGUAUACAUUACAAAAAGACAUAUUUAGUAAUUAUGAAGCACCAAAACAUUUACAUUUUUAUGAAUAAAAAACAAUUUUGAACAGAACAUCUCAAGACAGAUUUUUUUAAAGAAAAAGUCUGAUAUAUAACAAAGAACAACACUAUACUGAAUGUUAAUUAUAUUCAGCAUGACAUUUUAACAUCAGUGAUAUAUAGGAGGCAGUCACGUUUCUAGCAAAAGUGUUCCUCAAUCUCAUUUGUACAUGGGUUCUUGAAGGUGUAAUUAACUUGUCAAUUAUGAAUCUCAGAACUUCUGAAGUGAAAUCCAUCAAACUAGCUUAAAGUCUAGUUAUCCAGGCUGUGUACAAGAAGAAAGAUGAAAUCCACACAAUCAAACUAGGUCCAGGAUAUGGAGUAGCUGCAGUCUGCCCCAUAUGUCCCACUUUCAUCUAUGCCUCUGUUACAAUAGUCAAUAUAGCUCAAUAAUAUAUUGUGUCCUCUCUGUCACUGAUUCAGGGUAGUGGGAUCACUGUAGGUAUGAGGUAUAAUCUCCUUGAGCCUCUUUGACUGUCCAUUACUGCUGUAUUUGCAUGAGAAUAACUUUGGUAGGGAAUCUUGCAUAUUUAUCUUACCAUCUAAGCAAUUUGAAGACUUGUACAUUCCGAGAUGGACUUAAUCUUUGAAAUGUGGCGUACAAUGGUCUUUGACCGUCGUGCAAUAUCUAGAGAAAGUUAUAAUCAGACACAGGAAAGAAACAGCAGAAGAGAACCAAUUUUAUGCAAUUUCCUAUGCACCCUCUCAAAGGUUUUCAAAAUAUGUGGGUGAAGUUAGGUUCCCAAGUCCAUAUUUUAUGUAUCUAACUCGUUUUCAAAAGUGCUGAGAGUGCAACACUGCUAAAUGAGGACAGUCUGUAGGAGGGCAUCAGACAGAAACAUCUCCACAGUUUUGAAUGCAUGAAUAUUAGAUAAAAAUCUAUGAGAGGGAAAACCACUGAGAUUAGACAAAGUUAUGUGAGGGAAAACAGAGCACUGCCUUACCUGCAAAUAUCCCUUAUGAUAACAUUUUGGCAACUGGUUAAUUACCAAGUUCAAUAUUCUCUUAAUUUCUUGUUAAUGAAUUACUCAGUAGCAGUUUGUGUAUGGAAGCCUAAUAAUUUUACUUGAUCAAAAAAUAGUCAGUAUUUUUCUCAACCCCCUUUCCUGAUGUUUACAUUUUCAGAUUUUUCUUCUAAAUUAACUUUCAAUAGUCUCCCACAAAAUAUUUCAACAUUUUUCCUAUGAAAGGGUUAAACAUUUUCCACAAAAUGCAUAAAUAGAAAAUGAAAACUUUAAAAAAACCUAUUUGCUUUCAUCCUCUGCCACACUUCGUGCGCUCUCUCUUUCCCCCUUUCUUUUCUCUUACAUGCGUUACCCCUCAGAAAAUAUUAAAAAAAAACAAUUUUGUUCUGGGAAAAAAAUCAGUCUAGAAAAAAGGUGAUUUGAGAUAUUUUCAUCACAACAAUAAUUUUAAAUGGAAAAUUUCCGCCAUUUGCAUUUCUUAUUCACUUUACAUUUAAAAAAAAUCUCAUUAAAAGAGUUAUUCGUUAACAUCUAUAACAUUUAUUCUUUAACCACAGGCCAAUACAAGGUUAAAAUUAAGUAAUACUAACAAUAUAAAUCAUAAAACACACAUUUAGCCUUGAAAGAUAAGUUUAAUAUGACUGGUUGCACCUGCUCUACAAGAAUAUCUACACAAUGUUCAUGUAGUUGGCAUGCAUAUUUUGGAGUAGACCUAUGUACAUGUGUUUAGUUCUAUCUUUAUUUUGGUUUAAAGUCACCAUUUAUUUCAAAGGGAUUAGUGCUACUUUAUUGUUAGGACAACAGUGAUACUUUACUUGGAGAGAAGAGAACUAUGAGGAAGUUGAUGAAAAGUCGUAGAAUGACUGUCAUUUGUGGGGAAUGGGACAAUCCAAAUCCUCAGUCCCACACCCGAGACCUAGGGGUAUUUGUUUCAGCCUACUGAAAUAAACAAGUCUAGAUGAGGACUGUUCAUCAAAAUUUUAAAACAGUCUUUUCAGUAUCUAUUGCAUCACUUAACUAUACAUAAUGUUACUGUAAUCAAAAAUAGGGGGUGAAACACUGUAGCAAGCAUUACCAAUAUUAUUUCUCUCUCUCUCUCUUGCUCUCUUUAUUUUUAAAGAAAUGUUGAUUAAACUAGUUGUCCUUUGAUAUGUCACUGAAAGGUUUUUCUUCACAUGCUCAUAGUUAUUUACUAUAGGGUUUUUGUUAUGUCUGCUUGGGAAAGUGCUAGAACCCUAUACAGACAGGGCUGUAAAGAGAGAUGACAGCAAAGCAUGAUAGUAAAGCCACCUAUGUUUGUUGAUAUGUAGUUUAAACACUGACUAUACUUAGUGUGCUAUCUGGAAAUCCUGCUUUUAGGAAGAUUUGCACAUAAAUAAUAAGUGAAGUGAUAGUAGACUGAUAGUGUGAUAAUUUUUAUUUAUAUUACUACCUGAAUUUAAGUUUCAGUUAAAGUUAACUUGGUUCUUUAUCUGCAAAGAACGAAAUUUCUUUAUCUGUGUGAUGUCUGAGAGUUCUUAAUCUUGUAAUAAAGCAGUUUCAUGUUCACAAUCUGUUAAUAAUUUGCUUCUUUGUCUUAGAAUUUCUUCUGCAUCUGCUUUGUGUUAUAAUAUUAAUGACUGUAAAGUGAUUGCAUUGAUUUCGGCUUACAGCAUGGGUCACUGUGGUAUAUAUCGUGUCUGUGUAUUUUUAUUGCAUGUUUACUGAAAGGAAUGGAUCUUCCUGAUAUUAUUCAAGCUUAUUCUUUAAAUUCCAUUAAAAUAUCAUUUAAGAAAAAUUA